rnacentral:rRNA from 1 species
CCUUCGGGUAUUGAGGAUGGCGGACGGGUGAGUAACGCGUAAGGAACUUGCCUCUUGGUCUGGGACAACUGUUGGAAACGACAGCUAAUACCGGAUAUUAUGAGAUUCUCGCAUGGGAAACUUAUGAAAGCUAUAUGCGCCAAGAGAGAGCCUUGCGUUCCAUUAGCUAGUUGGUGGGGUAACGGCCCACCAAGGCGACGAUGGAUAGCCGGCCUGAGAGGGUGAACGGCCACAAGGGGACUGAGACACGGCCCUUACUCCUACGGGAGGCAGCAGUGGGGAAUAUUGGACAAUGGACCAAAAGUCUGAUCCAGCAAUUCUGUGUGCACGAUGAAGGUCUUCGGAUUGUAAAGUGCUUUCAGUUGGGAAGAAGCAAGUGACGGUACCAACAGAAGAAGCGACGGCUAAAUACGUGCCAGCAGCCGCGGUAAUACGUAUGUCGCAAGCGUUAUCCGGAUUUAUUGGGCGUAAAGCGCGUCUAGGCGGAAAAAUAAGUCUGAUGUUAAAAUGCGGGGCUCAACUCCGUAUUGCGUUGGAAACUGUUUUUCUAGAGUACUGGAGAGGUGGGCGGAACUACAAGUGUAGAGGUGAAAUUCGUAGAUAUUUGUAGGAAUGCCGAUGGAGAAGUCAGCUCACUGGACAGAUACUGACGCUAAAGCGCGAAAGCGUGGGGAGCAAACAGGAUUAGAUA